AUUCUGUUCAGAUGGGAAGUACUAUACAGGUUAUGCUAUAUGGUAUCCAAAACGAGGAUAUUCAGUAGAGCAUAAAUUGCCAGGUCAUUUGUCAGCACAGAGAGCAGAACUAGAAGCAUUAAAAACAGUACUAACACUUGAGGAAAAAGAAGGGCGUCCCCUAGUGAUAUAUAGUGACAGUUCAUAUGUGGUUAGAUCACUAACAGAACAUUUAGC